rnacentral:RNase_P_RNA from 1 species
GCACACGGAGGGUUCGUCGCUCGCCCGACGCAAUGAGGGGCGAGAGGAAAGUCCGGGCAACAACGAGCGCCAUGCUUCUUAACGGGAAGCUGCGGGCGACCGCAGAGUAGCGUGACAGAAAACAACCGCCGGACUGUCUCUGAAACUUCGAGGCACCGGCAAGGGUGAAAAGGUGGGGUAAGAGCCCACCGGGCCGUCGGGCGACCGACGGUGCCGCACGCCUGAUGGGUUGCAAGGUCAAGUAUACCGGCAUU